UUUUCUGAUUUCUCAAUAAAA
rnacentral:piRNA from 1 species